rnacentral:rRNA from 1 species
UACGUAUGGAGCAAGCGUUAUCCGGAUUUACUGGGUGUAAAGGGAGCGUAGGCGGCAUACCAAGCCUGAUGUGAAAACCCGGGGCCCAACCCCGGGAGUGCAUUGGGAACUGGCAAGCUAGAGUGUCGGAGAGGCAGGCGGAAUUCCUAGUGUAGCGGUGAAAUGCGUAGAUAUUAGGAGGAACACCAGUGGCGAAGGCGGCCUGCUGGACGAUGACUGACGCUGAGGCUCGAAAGCGUGGGGAGCAAACGGG